rnacentral:rRNA from 1 species
GUUGACCUCGGAUCAGGUAGGAAUACGCGCUGAACUUAAGCAUAUCAAUAAGCGCAGGAAAAGAAACCAACAGGGAUUGCCUCAGUAACGGCGAGUGAAGCGGCAACAGCUCAAAUUUGAAAUCUGGCCUCUUGGGGCCCGAGUUGUAAUUUGUAGAGGAUGUUUUGGGUACCGCCCCGGUUUAAAUUUCUUGGAACAGAAUGUCAGAGAGGGUGAGAAUCCCGUCUUGGACCGGCGGUAGGGCCUGUGUAAAACUCCUUCGACGAGUCGAGUUGUUUGGGAAUGCAGCUCAAAAUGGGUGGUAAAUUUCAUCUAAAGCUAAAUAUUGGCCAGAGACCGAUAGCGCACAAGUAGAGUGAUCGAAAGAUGAAAAGCACUUUGAAAAGAGAGUUAAACAGUAUGUGAAAUUGUUGAAAGGGAAGCGCUUGCAACCAGACUUGCGCGCGGCGGUUCCCCUUGCCUUUUGGCUUGGGUACUCCGUCGCGUCCAGGCCAACAUCGGUUUCGGGGGCCAGUUAAAGGCCCUGGGAAUGUACCUACCCCCGGGUAGACUUAUAGACCAGGGUGCCAUGUGGCCUCCCGGGACCGAGGAACGCGCUUCGGCUCGGAUGUUGGCGUAAUGGUUGUCAGCGACCCGUCUUGAAACACGGACCAAGGAGUCUAACAUCUAUGCGAGUGUUUGGGUGUCAAACCCGGAACGCGGAAUGAAAGUGAACGGAGGUAGGAAGCUUCGGCUGCACUAUCGACCGAUCCUGAAGUUUACGGAUGGAUUUGAGUAAGAGCAUAGCUGUUGGGACCCGAAAGAUGGUGAACUAUGCCUGAAUAGGGUGAAGCCAGAGGAAACUCUGGUGGAGGCUCGCAGCGGUUCUGACGUGCAAAUCGAUCGUCAAAUUUGGGUAUAGGGGCGAAAGACUAAUCGAACCAUCUGGUAGCUGGUUCCUGCCG